rnacentral:rRNA from 1 species
AACGAACGCUGGCGGCAUGCCUAACACAUGCAAGUCGAACGAGACCUUCGGGUCUAGUGGCGCACGGGUGCGUAACGCGUGGGAAUCUGCCCUUGGGUUCGGAAUAACGCAGAGAGAUUUGUGCUAAUACCGGAUGAUGUCUUCGGACCAAAGAUUUAUCGCCCAAGGAUGAGCCCGCGUAGGAUUAGGUAGUUGGUGGGGUAAUGGCUCACCAAGCCGACGAUCCUUAGCUGGUCUGAGAGGAUGAUCAGCCACACUGGGACUGAGACACGGCCCAG